rnacentral:rRNA from 1 species
GAUGAACGCUAGCUACAGGCUUAACACAUGCAAGUCGAGCGACCGGCGCACGGGUGAGUAACACGUAUCCAACCUGCCCUUUACUCGGGGAUAGCCUUUCGAAAGAAAGAUUAAUACCCGAUACAAAGGAUGGGGAUGCGUUUCAUUAGGUUGUUGGUGAGGUAACGGCUCACCAAGCCUUCGAUGGAUAGGGGUUCUGAGAGGAAGGUCCCCGCUAUUGGACGUAAGGCCCGGACCAAACUCGUAGGGGAGGGAGCAGUGAGUAAUACUGGUGAAUGGGCGCUAGCCUGACCCAGCCAAGUAGCGUGAGGGAUGAAUGCUUAUGGGUCGUAAUCUUCUUUUAUAUAAGAAUAUGUAUUAUAUGAAUAAGGAUCGGCUAACUCCGUGCCAGCAGCCGCGGUAAUUC